rnacentral:rRNA from 1 species
UCAAUAAGCGGAGGAAAAGAAACUAACAAGGAUUCCCCUAGUAACUGCGAGUGAAGCGGGAAAAGCUCAAAUUUAAAAUCUGGCAGUCUCUGGCUGUCCGAGUUGUAAUCUAGAGAAGUAAUGCCCGUGCUGGACCGUGUAUAAGUCUCCUGGGAUGGGGCGUCAUAGAGGGUGAGAAUCCCGUCUUUGACACGGACUACCAGUGCAUUGUGGUAUGCUCUCAAAGAGUCGAGUUGUUUGGGAAUGCAGCUCAAAAUGGGUGGUAAAUUCCAUCUAAAGCUAAAUAUUGGCGAGAGACCGAUAGCGAACAAGUACCGUGAGGGAAAGAUGAAAAGAACUUUGGAAAGAGAGUUAAACAGUACGUGAAAUUGCUGAAAGGGAAACGCUUGAAGUCAGUCGCGUUGGCUGGAAAUCAGCCUUGCUUUUGCAUGGUGUAUUUUCUGGUUGACGGGUCAGCAUCAAUUUUGACCGCUGGAAAAAGGCCUGGGGAAUGUGGCAGCUUCGGCUGUGUUAUAGCCCCUAGUCACAUACAGUGGUUGGGAUUGAGGAACUCAGCACGCCGCAAGGCCGGGUUUCGACCACGACCGUGCUUAGGAUGCUGGCAUAAUGGCUUUAAGCGACCCGUCUUGAAACACGGACCAAGGAGUCUAACAUGCCUGCGAGUAUUUGGGUGGAAAACUCAAGUGCGUAAUGAAAGUGAAAGUUGAGAUCCCUGUCGUGGGGAGCAUCGACGCCCGGACCAGAACUUUUGGGACGGAUCCGCGGUGGAGCAUGUAUGUUGGGACCCGAAAGAUGGUGAACUAUGCCUGAAUAGGGUGAAGCCAGAGGAAACUCUGGUGGAGGCUCGUAGCGAUUCUGACGUGCAAAUCGAUCGUCAAAUUUGGGUAUAGGGGCGAAAGACUAAUCGAACCAUCUAGUAGCUGGUUCCUG